UACAUAGGGAGCGAGCGUUGUCCGGAAUUACUGUGUGUAAAGGGAGCGUAGGCGGGAUCUCAAGUCAGGUGCGAAAUGCAGGGGCUCAACCCCUGAACUGCACUUGAAACUGUGGUUCUUGAGUGAAGUAGAGGUAAGCUGAAUUCCUAGUGUAGCGGUGAAAUGCGUAGAUAUUAGGAGGAACAUCAGUGGCGAAGGCGGCUUACUGGGCUUUAACUGACGCUGAGGCUCGAAAGCGUGGGGAGCAAAC
rnacentral:rRNA from 1 species